GGCGUAAGGGCUCGCAGGCGGUUUCUUAAGUCUGAUGUGAAAGCCCCCGGCUCAACCGGGGAGGGUCAUUGGAAACUGGGAAACUUGAGUGCAGAAGAGGAGAGUGGAAUUCCACGUGUAGCGGUGAAAUGCGUAGAGAUGUGGAGGAACACCAGUGGCGAAGGCGACUCUCUGGUCUGUAACUGACGCUGAGGAGCGAAAGCGUGGGGAGCGAACAGGAUUAGAUACCCUGGUAGUCCACGCCGUAAACGAUGAGUGCUAAGUGUUAGGGGGUUUCCGCCCCUUAUGGCUGCAGCUAACGCAUUAAGCACUCCGCCGGGGGAGUACGGUCGCAAGACUGAAACUCAAAGGAAUUGACGGGGGCCCGCACAAGCGGUGGAGCAUGUGGUUUAAUUCGAAGCAACGCGAAGAACCUUACCAGGUCUUGACAUCCUCUGACUACCCUAGAGAUAGGGCUUUCCCUUCGGGGACAGAGUGACAGGUGGUGCAUGGUUGUCGUCAGCUCGUGUCGUGAGAUGUUGGGUUAAGUCCCGCAACGAGCGCAACCCUUGAUCUUAGUUGC
rnacentral:rRNA from 1 species